rnacentral:rRNA from 1 species
AACCUCUGCAAUAAGCGAAAGCUUGACAGGGUUACUCUGAGUGAUUUCCGCUAAGGAAGUCUUUUGGCACCUUGGUGCAGAAUAAGGGGUGGCAAGCUGGUGUCAGCCGCCGCGGUAAUACCAGCACCCCGAGUGGUCGGGACGUUUAUUGGGCCUAAAGCAUCCGUAGCCGGUUCUACAAGUCUUCCGUUAAAUCCACCUGCUUAACAGAUGGGCUGCGGAAGAUACUAUAGAGCUAGGAGGCGGGAGAGGCAAGCGGUACUCGAUGGGUAGGGUAAAAUCCGUUGAUCCAUUGAAGACCACCAGUGGCGAAGGCGGCUUGCCAGAACGCCUCGACGGUGAGGGAUGAAAGCUGGGGGAGCAAACCGGAUUAGAUACCCGGGUAGUCCCAGCUGUAAACGAUGUAGACUCGGUGAUGGGCGGUGCCGCAGGGAAGCCGUUAAGUCUGCCGCCUGGGGAGUACGGUCGCAAG